rnacentral:rRNA from 1 species
CCUACGGGUGGCUGCAGUGGGGAAUAUUGCACAAUGGGGGAAACCCUGAUGCAGCGACGCCGCGUGAGUGAAGAAGGAAUUCGGUAUGUAAAGCUCUAUCAGCAGGGAAGAAAAUGACGGUACCUGAGUAAGAAGCCCCGGCUAACUACGUGCCAGCAGCCGCGGGACUACGUAGGGGGCAAGCGUUAUCCGGAUUUACUGGGUGUAAAGGGAGCGUAGACGGCAUGGAAAGUCUGAAGUGAAAGGCGGGGGCGCAACCCCCGGCCUGCUCUGGAAACUGGACGUCUGGAGUGCAGGAGAGGUAAGUGGAAUUCCUAGUGUAGCGGUGAAAUGCGUAGAUAUUAGGAGGAACACCAGUGGCUAAGGCGGCUUACUGGACUGUAACUGACGUUGAGGCUCGAAAGCGUGGGGAGCAAACAGGAUUAGAUACCCUUGUAGUC